GAUGAACGCUGGCGGCGUGCCUAAUACAUGCAAGUCGAGCGAACAGACGAGGAGCUUGCUCCUCUGACGUUAGCGGCGGACGGGUGAGUAACACGUGGAUAACCUACCUAUAAGACUGGGAUAACUUCGGGAAACCGGAGCUAAUACCGGAUAAUAUAUUGAACCGCAUGGUUCAAUAGUGAAAGACGGUUUUGCUGUCACUUAUAGAUGGAUCCGCGCCGCAUUAGCUAGUUGGUAAGGUAACGGCUUACCAAGGCAACGAUGCGUAACCGAACUGAGAGGGUGAUAGGCCACACUGGAACUGAGACACGGUCAAGACUCCUACGGGAGGCAGCAGUAGGGAAUCUUCCGCAAUGGGCGAAAGCCUGACGGAGCAACGCCGCGUGAGUGAUGAAGGUCUUCGGAUCGUAAAACUCUGUUAUUAGGGAAGAACAAAUGUGUAAGUAACUAUGCACGUCUUGACGGUACCUAAUCAGAAAGCCACGGCUAACUACGUG
rnacentral:rRNA from 1 species